AGUAGUUGCGUGGCGGGAUGUGUAGGAAUAGGGAGGGUGGAAUGGUUAUUUGAAGUGAUUGGGUUUGAAGAGUCCGUAGGCGUACUGGUAAGUCAGUGGUGAAAGCCUGUGGCUUAACGAUAGGACUGGCAUUUAUACUGUAAGUCUUGGGUGUAUAUGAGGUAGCUUGAAUAAGUAGUGUAGCGGUGAAAUGCGUAGAUAUUACUUAGAACACCAAUUGAGAAUGCAGGUUACCAAGAUAUAACUGACGCUGUGGGACGAAAGCGUGGGGAGCGAACACGAGUAGGUACCCUUGUAGUC
rnacentral:rRNA from 1 species